rnacentral:rRNA from 1 species
GAUGAACGCUGGCGGCGUGCCUAAUACAUGCAAGUCGAGCGGACGGACGCUGAUCUUGCGUCUCUGAUGUUAGCGGCGGACGUGUGUAUCACACGUGUAUCACCUACCUAUCAGACUGGGAUCACUUCGGGAAACCGGAGCUAAUACCGGAUAAUAUUUUGAACCGCAGGGUUCAAUGGUGAGAGACGGUCUUGCUGUCUCUACUCGCUGCUUCCGCGCUGCAUUGGCUAGUUGUUAAGGUAACGGGUUACCACGGCAACGAUGCAUAGCCGACCUGCGAGGCGGAUAGGCCACACUGGAACUGAGACACGGUCCAGACGCCUACGGGAGGCAGCAGUAGCGAACCGUCCGCAAUGGGCGAAAGCCUGACGGAGUAAGGCCGCGUGAGUGAUGAAGGUCUUCCGAUCGUAAAAAUGGCUUACGAGUGAAGAACAUAUGUGGAAGUAACUGAGGCCAGCUUGACGGUACCGAAUCAGAAAGCACCGGCUAACUACGUG